GGUUUCUCUGUGUAGCCCUGGCUGUCCUGGAACUCACUCUGUAGACCAGGCUGGCCUCGAACUCAGAAAUCCACCUGCCUCUGCCUCCCGAGUGCUGGGAUUAAAGGCGUGCGCCACCACUGCCCG
rnacentral:miRNA from 1 species